rnacentral:rRNA from 1 species
GAUGAACGCUGGCGGCGUGCCUAACACAUGCAAGUCGAGCGAACGGACGAGAAGCUUGCUUUUCUGAUGUUAGCGGCGGACGGGUGAGUAACACGUGGAUAACCUACCUAUAAGACUGGGAUAACUUCGGGAAACCGGAGCUAAUACCGGAUAAUAUUUUGAACCGCAUGGUUCAAAAGUGAAAGACGGUCUUGCUGUCACUUAUAGAUGGAUCCGCGCUGCAUUAGCUAGUUGGUAAGGUAACGGCUUACCAAGGCAACGAUGCAUAGCCGACCUGAGAGGGUGAUCGGCCACACUGGAACUGGGACACGGUCCAGACUCCUACGGGAGGCAGCAGUAGGGAAUCUUCCGCAAUGGGCGAAAGCCUGACGGAGCAACGCCACGUGAGUGAUGAAGGUCUUCGGAUCGUAAAACUCUGUUAUUAGGGAAGAACAUAUGUGUAAGUAACUGUGCACAUCUUGACGGUACCUAAUCAGAAAGCCACGGCUAACUACGUG